GCCGAUGUCUGAUUAGCUAGUUGGUGGGGUAAAGGCCCACCAAGGCGACGAUCAGUAGCUGGUCUGAAAGGACGAUCAGCCACACUGGGACUGAGACACGGCCCAAACUCCUACGGGAGGCAGCAGUGGGGAAUUUUGGACAAUGGGGGCAACCCUGAUCCAGCAAUGCCGGGUGUGUGAAGAAGGCCUUCGGGUUGUAAAGCACUUUUGUCCGGAAAGAAAUCGCACUGGUUAAUACCUGGUGUGGAUGACGGUACCGGAAGAAUAAGGACCGGCUAACUACGUGCCAGCAGCCGCGGUAAUACGUAGGGUCCAAGCGUUAAUCGGAAUUACUGGGCGUAAAGCGUGCGCAGGCGGUUGUGCAAGACCGAUGUGAAAUCCCCGGGCUUAACCUGGGAAUUGCAUUGGUGACUGCACGGCUAGAGUGUGUCAGAGGGAGUAGAAUUUCCACGUGUAGCAGUGAAAUGCGUAGA
rnacentral:rRNA from 1 species